rnacentral:rRNA from 1 species
AUUGAACGCUGGCGGCAUGCUUUACACAUGCAAGUCGAACGAGUGGCGGACGGGUGAGUAAUGCAUCGGAACGUGCCGAGUAGAGGGGGAUAACUAUUCGAAAGGACAGCUAAUACCGCAUAUUAUUCGAGCGGCCGAUAUCUGAUUAGCUAGUUGGUGGGGUAAAGGCCCACCAAGGCGACGAUCAUUAGCUGGUCUGAGAGGAUGACUCGCCACACUGGGACUGAGAAACGGCCCAGACUCCUACGGGAGGCAGCAGUGGGGAAUUUUGGACAAUGGGCGAAAGCCUGAUCCAGCCAUGCCGCGUGUAUGAAGAAGGCCUUCGGGUUGUAAAGUACUUUUGUCAGGGAAGCGGUACCUGCAGAAUAAGCACCGGCUAACUACGUGCCAGCAGCCGCGGUAAUAC